rnacentral:rRNA from 1 species
CAGCCGCCGCGGUAAUACGAGGGGGGCAAGCGUUGUUCGGAAUUAUUGGGCGUAAAGGGUGCGUAGGCGGCUUGACAAGUCUUGUGUGAAAUCUAUGGGCUCAACCCAUAGUCUGCACGGGAAACUGUCGGGCUUGAGAAUGGGAGAGGUGAGUGGAAUUUCCGGUGUAGCGGUGAAAUGCGUAGAUAUCGGAAGGAACACCUGUGGCGAAAGCGGCUCACUGGACCAUUUCUGACGCUGAUGCACGAAAGCUAGGGGAGCAAACAGGAUUAGAUACCCCAGUAGUCCCUGUCUCUUAUAA